rnacentral:rRNA from 1 species
GACGAACGCUGGCGGCGUGCUUAACACAUGCAAGUCGAACGGAAAGGCCCUGCUGGGGUGGGGUGCUCGAGUGGCGAACGGGUGAGUAACACGUGAGUAACCUGCCCUUGACUUUGGGAUAACGUCAGGAAACUGGGGCUAAUACCGGAUAGGAGCUCCUGCGGCAGGGUGGGGGUUGGAAAGUUGCGGCGGUUGGGGAUGGACUCGCGGCUGAUCAGCUUGUGGGUGGGGUAGUGGCUUACCAAGGCUUUGACGGGUAGCCGGCCUGAGAGGGUGACCGGCCCCCUUAGGCCUGCGAUACGGCCCAGACUCCUACGGUAGGCAGCAGUGGGGAAUAUUGCACAAUGGGCGGAAGCCUGAUGCAGCAACGCCGCGUGCGGGAUGACGGCCUUCGGGUUGUAAACCGCUUUCGCCUGUGACGAAGCGUGAGUGACGGUAAUGGGUAAAGAAGCACCGGCUAACUACGUG